UACGUAGGGUGCGAGCGUUAAUCGGAAUUACUGGGCGUAAAGCGUGCGCAGGCGGUUUUGUAAGCCAGAUGUGAAAUCCCCGGGCUUAACCUGGGAACUGCAUUUGAAACUGGCAGGCUUGAGUCUUGUAGAGGGGGGUGGAAUUCCCGGUGUAGUGGUGAAAUGCGUAGAGAUCGGGAGGAACACCUGUGGCGAAGGCGGCCCCCUGGGCCGGCCCUGACGCUGAGACGCGAAAGCGCGGGGAGCGAACGGG
rnacentral:rRNA from 1 species